GUAAAUAUAGUUUAAAUAAAACAUUAGACCGUGAAUCUAACAAUAGAAGCUCAUCACUCCUUAUUUACC
rnacentral:tRNA from 1 species